UGCCGGUCCCCUCGCGACGAUAGACCGCGAACCUGGUCAGACCCGGAAGGGAGCAGCCACAGCGGAGGACUCGGGCGCCGGGGUGUGGCUGGUAGGG
rnacentral:SRP_RNA from 1 species